rnacentral:rRNA from 1 species
GACGAACGCUGGCGGCGUGCCUAAUAUAUGCAAGUCGAACGCAGUGGGGACGGGUGAGUAACACGUGGGUAACCUCCCAUCAGAGGGGAUAACACUUGGAAACAGGUGCUAAACCGAUACUGAUGGAUGGACCGUCGGUGCAUUAGCUGGUUGGUGAGGUAACGGCUCACCAAGGCCACGAGGCAUAGCCGACCUGAGAGGGGGAUCGGCCACACUGGGACUGAGACACGGCCCAGAGUCCUACGGGAGGCAGCAGUAGGGAAUCUUGGGCAAUGGGCGAAAGGCUGACCGAGCAACGCCGCGUGAGUGAAGAAGGUUUUCGGGUCGUAAAGCUCUGUUGUUGGGGAUGCGGUAUCUGACCAAAAAGCCCCGGCUAACUACGUGCCAGCAGCCGCGGUAAUAC